rnacentral:rRNA from 1 species
CUAAGCCGAGGCCGAAAGGCGUAGGUGAUGGACAACAGGUUGAUAUUCCUGUACCGCCAAUAAGCGUUUGAGAGAUGGAGUGACACAGUAGGAUAAGCUAACCGUACUGUUGGUUAUGUACGGCUAAGCAUUGAGGCAGUCUAAAUAGGCAAAUCCGUUUAGACAAUGCUAGGAUGUGAUGGGGAAGCCCUUCGGGGCGAAGUAGCUGAUUUCACACUGUCAAGAAAAGCUUCUAUCGAGUUUAAAGGCGCCCGUACCGUAAACCGACACAGGUGGGUGAGGAGAGUAUCCUAAGGCCAGCGAGAGAACUAUUGUUAAGGAACUCGGCAAAAUGACCCCGUAACUUAGGGAGAAGGGGUGCCUGUCUAUGACAGGCCGCAGAGAAUAGGCCCAAGCGACUGUUUACCAAAAACACAGGUUUCUGCUAAGUCGCAAGACGAUGUAUAGGAGCUGACGCCUGCCCGGUGCUGGAAGGUUAAGGGGAUCUGUUAGAGCAAUCGAAGCAGUGAACUUAAGCCCCAGUAAACGGCGGCCGUAACUAUAACGGUCCUAAGGUAGCGAAAUUCCUUGUCGGGUAAGUUCCGACCCGCACGAAAGGCGUAACGAUUUGGGCACUGUCUCAACAAUAGACUCGGUGAAAUUGUAAUCCCGGUGAAGAUGCCGGGUACCUGCGACAGGACGGAAAGACCCCAUGGAGCUUUACUGUAGCUUGACGUUGGGUCUUGGUACUACAUGUACAGGAUAGGUGGGAGACUAUGAAGCAUGGACGCCAGUCUGUGUGGAGUCAUCCUUGGGAUACCACCCUUGUAGUACUGGGAUCCUAACCAUAGGCCUUGAAUCAGGUCUUGGAACACCGUCAGGUGGGCAGUUUGACUGGGGCGGUCGCCUCCUAAAAAGUAACGGAGGCGCUCAAAGGUUUCCUCAGCACGGUCGGAAAUCGUGCGAAGAGUGUAAAGGCAAAAGGAAGCUUGAUUGCAAGACAUACAGGUCGAGCAAGGACGAAAGUCGGACUUAGUGAUCCGGUGGUACCGCAUGGAAGGGCCAUCGCUCAACGGAUAAAAGCUACCCUGGGGAUAACAGGCUUAUCUCCCCCAAGAGUCCACAUCGACGGGGAGGUUUGGCACCUCGAUGUCGGCUCAUCACAUCCUGGGGCUGUAGUAGGUCCCAAGGGUUGGGCUGUUCGCCCAUUAAAGUGGUACGCGAGCUGGGUUCAGAACGUCGUGAGACAGUUCGGUCCCUAUCCGUCGCAGGCGUAGGAAAUUUGAGAAGACCUGUCCUUAGUACGAGAGGACCGGGAUGGACGUACCUCUGGUGUACCAGUUGUUCUGCCAAGGGCAUGGCUGGGUAGCUAUGUACGGAAUGGAUAAGCGCUGAAAGCAUCUAAGCGCGAAGCCAACUUCAAGAUAAGAUUUCCCACCGUAAGGGUAAGACCCCAGGAAGACUACCUGGUUGAUAGGUCGAAGGUGUAAGUGCAGUAAUGUAUUUAGCUUAUCGAUACUAAUAGGUCGAGGACUUGACCAA